ACCGUAUGAUUUUGCAAGCUUAUUGUGGGAAGGAAAAGUUCCAUAUGGUCAAUGUCUUGAACUUAUUGAUGAUGACUUAUGCAACUGCAGGAGUCUGAAUCUUUUUCGAACACAAGAGAAUUGAUGGAGUGAUAUAAGAAGGUUUCUUUGUUAAUUGAUUAUUCUCUUCCGCUUACAGGGGAUGGCGCUAAGAAUAAGUGCUUUGAUGAACUAAUAGGUGUUUGGAUUUUGUGUUUACUUUGCUCUGCAUAGGGCUCCUUCAGUUUUUUGUAUUCUUUUACUUCGCUCAGUAAUUCUUCUAUUUUCAAGAUAAGAAUACAGGUUGCAUCUGCAUUG